rnacentral:rRNA from 1 species
UACGGGGGGAGCAAGCGUUGUUCGGAUUUACUGGGCGUAAAGGGCGCGUAGGCGGCCACCGCAAGUCGACUGUGAAAUCUCCGGGCUUAACCCGGAAAGGUCAGCCGAUACUGCGGGGCUAGAGUGCAGAAGGGGCAACUGGAAUUCUCGGUGUAGCGGUGAAAUGCGUAGAUAUCGGGAGGAACACCUGUGGCGAAAGCGGCGCACUGGACCACAACUGACGCUGAGGCGCGAAAGCUAGGGGAGCAAACAGG